rnacentral:lncRNA from 1 species
CACCAGGCCUGGCACCCACCUUGCGACUGAAGGUGGCCUCGUAUUGCUUAAAAAGGUAUGUUUCAGUUUAAAUACCAGACAGUAAAAAUAGAGCUCGAGGACCACCUGCACUGUUGCCAAAUCAUUGCCAGAAUGAAUAGCUUAAAUAAAUAAAAAAUCACUUACCAACCACUGCACACUUGUAUGUUAUCAGGGAAGCCAAAGUUUUUACUUCAUCUACACUCACAUCAAUGCUGUAAUGGAUAUCUGGUGGUGUUUUUUUUAAAAAUG